rnacentral:rRNA from 1 species
AACGAACGCUGGCGGCAGGCUUAACACAUGCAAGUCGAACGCGUGUAGCAAUACACGAGUGGCGCACGGGUGAGUAACGCGUGGAUAUCUGCCUUUUGGUUCGGAAUAACCCCGGGAAACUGGGGCUAAUACCGGAUGGUUCCUUCGGGAUAAAGAUUUAUCGCCAAAAGAUGAGUCCGCGUACGAUUAGCUAGUUGGUGAGGUAAUGGCUCACCAAGGCGACGAUCGUUAGCUGGUCGAGAGGACGAUCAGCCACACUGGGACUGAGACACGGCCCAGACUCCUACGGGAGGCAGCAGUGGGGAAUAUUGGACAAUGGGGGCAACCCUGAUCCAGCCAUGCCGCGUGAGUGAUGAAGGCCUU